AGAACGAACGCUGGCGGCAUGCCUAAUACAUGCAAGUCGAACGGAACUCUUCGGAGUUAGUGGCGCACGGGUGCGUAACGCGUGGGAAUCUGCCCUUGGGUUCGGAAUAACAGUUGGAAACGACUGCUAAUACCGGAUGAUGACGAAAGUCCAAAGAUUUAUCGCCCAGGGAUGAGCCCGCGUAGGAUUAGCUAGUUGGUGAGGUAAAGGCUCA
rnacentral:rRNA from 1 species